CCUACGGGAGGCAGCAGUGAGGAAUAUUCGUCAAUGGACGAGAGUCUGAACCAGCCAAGUAGCGUGAAGGAUGACUGCCCUAUGGGUUGUAAACUUCUUUUAUAUGGGAAUAAAAUGUUCCACGUGUGGGAUUUUGUCUGUACCAUAUGAAUAAGGAUCGGCUAACUCCGUGCCAGCAGCCGCGGUAAUACGGAGGAUCCGAGCGUUAUCCGGAUUUAUUGGGUUUAAAGGGAGCGUAGGUGGAUUGUUAAGUCAGUUGUGAAAGUUUGCGGCUCAACCGUAAAAUUGCAGUUGAAACUGGCAGUCUUGAGUACAGUAGAGGUGAGCGGAAUUCGUGGUGUAGCGGUGAAAUGCUUAGAUAUCACGAAGAACUCCGAUUGCGAAGGCAGUUCACUGGACUGCAACUGACACUGAGGCUCGAAAGUGUGGGUAUCAAACAGGAUUAGAUACCCCUGUAGUC
rnacentral:rRNA from 1 species